UCCCUCCCGCGGCUCCCUCCCGCCGGGUCAGCCCAGAAGAGUUGCCUGGUGGCCGCGGCAGACUGAAGCCCAGCAGCAGCAAGGAUGGGAGACUCCAAAGUGAAAGUGGCGGUCCGGAUUCGGCCGAUGAACCGAAGAGAAAUUGACUUGCAUACCAAAUGUGUGGUGGAUGUAGAUGCAAACAAGGUUAUUCUUUAUCCUGUAAAUACUAAUCUUUCCAAAGGAGAUGCCCGGGGCCAACCAAAGGCAUUUGCUUAUGAUCAUUGUUUCUGGUCUAUGGAUGAAUCUGUCAGAGAAAAAUAUGCAGGUCAAGAUGAUGUUUUCAAGUGCCUUGGGGAGAAUAUCCUUCAGAAUGCUUUUGAUGGCUAUAAUGCUUGUAUCUUUGCCUAUGGCCAGACUGGAUCUGGAAAAUCUUAUACCAUGAUGGGCACAGCUGACCAACCUGGAUUAAUCCCAAGACUUUGCAGUGGCCUCUUUGAACGAACCCAGAAAGAGGAAAAUGAAGAGCAGAGUUUUAAAGUAGAAGUGUCCUACAUGGAAAUUUAUAAUGAAAAAGUUAGAGACCUUCUUGAUCCCAAAGGAAGCCGUCAAACUUUAAAAGUCAGAGAGCAUAGUGUACUGGGACCUUAUGUGGACGGACUUUCUAAACUGGCUGUCACAAGCUACAAGGAUAUUGAGUCUUUGAUGUCUGAGGGUAACAAAUCUCGUACAGUUGCCGCAACCAACAUGAAUGAGGAAAGUAGCCGAUCCCAUGCGGUCUUCAAAAUCACCCUUACACAUACUUUAUAUGAUGUGAAGUCUGGGACAUCUGGAGAAAAAGUGGGCAAACUGAGCUUGGUUGAUUUAGCGGGCAGCGAAAGAGCAACAAAAACUGGAGCUGCAGGUGAUAGGCUGAAGGAAGGGAGCAACAUUAACAAGUCCCUCACAACCCUUGGUCUGGUUAUCUCAGCCCUUGCAGAUCAGAGUGCUGGCAAAAACAAGAAUAAAUUUGUUCCAUAUCGUGACUCAGUUCUCACUUGGCUGCUCAAAGACAGUCUUGGGGGUAACAGCAAGACAGCCAUGGUAGCAACUGUGAGCCCAGCAGCUGAUAACUAUGAUGAAACGCUUUCAACUCUACGGUAUGCUGAUCGAGCCAAGAACAUUGUUAACCAUGCUGUAGUGAAUGAGGAUCCUAAUGCACGUAUUAUCCGGGAUCUUCGGGAAGAAGUAGAAAAACUCCGAGAACAACUAACCAAAGCAGAGGCAAUGAAGUCUCCAGAGUUAAAAGAACGACUGGAAGAAUCAGAGAAGCUAAUUCAGGAAAUGACGGUGACCUGGGAGGAGAAAUUAAGGAAAACUGAGGAGAUUGCACAGGAGCGACAGAAACAGCUUGAAAGCCUGGGAAUAUCUCUUCAGUCUUCUGGAAUCAAAGUUGGGGAUGAUAAAUGUUUCCUUGUUAAUCUGAAUGCUGAUCCUGCCCUUAAUGAACUUCUGGUUUACUAUUUAAAGGAACAUACAUUGAUAGGAUCAGCAAAUUCCCAAGAUAUCCAACUAUGUGGAAUGGGAAUUCUUCCUGAACAUUGUAUUAUAGACAUCACAACAGAAGGCCAGGUUAUGCUGACUCCUCAAAAGAACACCAGAACAUUUGUAAAUGGCUCCUGUGUCUCCAGUCCUAUACAGCUACACCAUGGUGACAGGAUAUUAUGGGGAAACAACCACUUCUUCAGACUCAAUUUGCCUAAAAAGAAAAAGAAAGCACAAAGUGAGGAUGAGGAACACGACAACUCCAUGAAGAAUGAUAACAGUUCUGAGCAGCUGGAUGUAGAUGGAGAUUCCUCCAGUGAGGUUUCUAGUGAAAUUAACUUCAAUUAUGAAUAUGCACAGAUGGAAGUUACCAUGAAGGCUCUUGGGAAUAAUGAUCCAAUGCAGUCAAUAUUGAAGAGCCUAGAACAACAGCAUGAAGAAGAAAAACGAUCUGCAUUAGAACGCCAGAGGCUCAUGUAUGAACAUGAAUUGGAGCAGCUACGAAGAAGGCUGUCUCCUGAGAAACAAAACUAUCGUAGUAGCAUGGACAGAUUCCCUUUCCACUCGCCCAGUGCUCAACAACGCUUAAGGCAGUGGGCUGAGGAGAGAGAAGCAACAUUGAAUAAUAGCCUGAUGAGGUUGAGGGAACAAAUUGUUAAAGCCAAUCUCUUGGUGAGAGAAGCUAGUUACAUUGCAGAAGAACUGGAUAAAAGAACGGAAUAUAAAGUUACCCUACAGAUUCCAGCCUCCAGCCUUGAUGCCAACAAGAAGCGAGGCUCUGUUCUUAGUGAACCUGCAAUCCAGGUGAGAAGAAAAGGAAAAGGAAAGCAGAUCUGGUCAUUGGAAAAAUUGGACAACAGGUUGUUGGACAUGAGAGACCUUUAUCAGGAGUGGAAGGAGUGUGAAGAAGAUUCCCCAGUAAUACGGUCGUACUUCAAGCGUGCUGAUCCAUUCUAUGAUGAACAGGAAAAUCACAGUCUCAUUGGGGUGGCCAAUGUCUUCCUUGAGUCUCUUUUCUACGAUGUGAAGUUGCAGUAUGCUGUUCCAAUUGUCAACCAGAAAGGAGAGGUGGCAGGUCGGCUGCAUGUAGAGGUUAUGCGAAUCAGUGGUGAAAUUGGGGAAAGAAUUGCAGGAGGUGAUGAUGCUGUAGAUAUUUCCUUUGAUAGAGAAACUCAGGAGAACAAACUUGUAUGCAUGGUUAAAAUACUCCAAGCUACUGGGUUGCCACAGCAUCUGUCCCACUUUGUAUUCUGCAAAUACAACUUCUGGGAUCAACAGGAGCCCAUGAUUGUUGCACCUGAAGUAGAUACCUCAUCCUCCCCUGUCAGCAAGGAACCUCAGUGCAUGGUUGUCUUUGAUCAUUGUAAUGAGUUUUCUGUUAACAUCACUGAAGACUUUAUUGAGCAUCUUUCAGAAGGGGCAUUGGCAAUUGAAGUAUAUGGCCAUAAGAUGACUGAUCCUCGAAAAAAUCCAGCCGUUUGGGAUUUGGGAAUUAUACAAGCAAAAACACGUAGUCUCCGGGAUAGAUGGAGUGAAGUCACCAGAAAAGUAGAAUUCUGGGUUCAAAUCCUGGAACAGAAUGAGAAUGGUGAUUACUGCCCUGUAGAAGUGAUUUCUGCUAAGGAUGUGCCAACAGGUGGUAUCUUCCAGCUCCGGCAGGGGCAAUCCCGGCGAAUUCAAGUUGAAGUAAAGUCUGUACAGGAAUCUGGCACUUUACCACUAAUGGAAGAAUGUAUAUUGUCAGUUGGUGUUGGAUGUAUAAAAAUUAGACCACUCAGGUCCCCCAAAACUCAUGAGACUUUCCAUGAAGAAGAAGAAGACAUGGACAGUUACCAGGACAGAGAUUUAGAGAGACUACGUAGAAAAUGGCUGAAUGCAUUAACAAAACGGCAGGAGUACUUAGAUCAGCAACUACAAAAGCUUGUCAGCAAACAUGAUAAAACUGAGGAUGAUGCUGACCGUGAAGCUCAACUUCUAGAGAUGAGGCUGACUCUGACUGAGGAAAGGAACGCAGUAAUGGUCCCCUCUGCUGGCAGUGGGAUUCCAGGGGCCCCUGCAGAAUGGACUCCAGUGCCUGGAAUGGAAACACACAUUCCUGUUAUAUUCCUUGACUUAAAUGCUGAUGAUUUCAGCUCUCAAGAUAAUCUUGAUGACCCAGAAGCUGGUGGUUGGGAUGCUACCCUCACUGGGGAAGAAGAAGAAGAGUUCUUUGAACUGCAGAUUGUAAAACAACAUGAUGCAGAGGUAAAGAAAGCACAGCUUUGGAAGGUAAAAGCAGAAGCCUCCUGGGACUCCGCAGUACAUAAUUGCCCUCAGCUCAGUAAAGGCACACCCUCAGACGAGCGAGUGUUUCUCAUUGUGCGGGUGACAGUCCAGCUCAGCCACCCAGCUGAAAUGCAAUUGGUUUUACGCAAACGAAUUUGUGUCACUGUUCAUGGCCGGCAGGGUUUUGCUCAGAGUCUUCUAAAAAAGAUGUCUCAUAGAAGUUCUAUUCCUGGCUGUGGAGUCACUUUUGAAAUUGUUUCCAAUAUUCCAGAGGAUGCCCAGGGAGUAGAGGAACGAGAAGCAUUAGCAAGAAUGGCAGCUAACGUUGAAAACCCAGCUUCUGCUGACUCAGAAGCUUAUAUCGAAAAAUACCUCAGAAGUGUGCUGGCUGUGGAAAACCUUCUUACUUUAGAUCGUCUUCGCCAGGAAGUUGCAGUGAAGGAACAGUUAACAGGAAAAGGGAAAUUGAGUAGGAGGAGUAUUAGUUCUCCAAAUGUCAAUAGAUUAUCUGGAAGCCGACAAGAUCUUACUCCAUCAUACAGUCUAGGCAGCAACAAGGGUCGGUGGGAAAGUCAACAGGAUGUUUCCCAAACAGUACUUUCCAGAGGAAUAGCUCCAGGCCCCCCAUCCCUUUCUGGUUGUCCCCAAAAUAAUCACUCUCCUGAUCCAGGACUUAGUAGCUUAGCAGCCUCCUACUUGAAUCCAGUAAAAUCGUUUGUGCCACAGAUGCCGAAGCUGCUUAAAUCUCUUUUUCCUGUCCGAGAUGAAAAAAGGGGCAAACAGCUAUCUCCUCUUACACAUCAGCCCGUGCCACGAAUCAUGGUGCAGUCAACCCUCCUGGACGUUGCGGUGACACGGAUGGAGGAGGCUCACCAAGAGAACAUGGGAAUUAGUGAGACACCAGAAGUGACUGUGCAGAUUCCCCCUGUGGUGAAAAUCUAUGACAAACCAGCUAAAGUGCCCUCCCAGCAGCCACUUCCUGCAAAUGCCCAGGCCCAAGAAGUUCCGGAAGGUCCUCCCAGCCCCCUGAGUGAGACCUCCAGUGGUUACUUUUCCCACAGCGUUUCCACAGCAACUCUGUCGGAUGCACUCGUCACUGGCCUUGAUGCUGCCUCCCAAGCUGCACCCAGUUCCCCUCCAACUCCCAUCUGCCAGGUCCCCCUUGAGACUGACCUUUCAUUUCCAUCUGUUGUUUCAUGUGCAGAGAGCCACCUUUCUGCCCCACUGGAGAAUCAGACCAGCCUCCCAUCACUGCCUAUCCAACCAAAGCAAACUGCUCAAUAUAACAGCAAUGGUGUAUUAAAGGCCAAGGGAUUGGUUUCCUUUGAGAAGCAGAAUAAAGAUCUGGCAAGUGCUUCCCUUGCCAUUGAUACACCAACAUAUCUUCCCACUUCUGCCCCCCAAAAGGAAUCACCCAGCCAGCAGACUGUAAGAGAAGUUUCUUCUGCCACCAGGCAGCCAGGGAGCCCAAAGGAUCAGAUGAAGCCAGCUACCAGCUUGGAGCUAGACAUCUCCAAACCCCAGUUCCCUCCUGACCUCCUAUCUCAGUCAUCUGCUCCAACAUCUCCAUUCAGAAUCCAGAAGGUGCGAACCUCUGAGCUAAAGUCGUUCACGCGCAUGCUUGGUGGAGACUCCUGCUCCUCUAGCACUGAGGAGGAGCAGCUGGCCUCAGGAGGGUCAGGUGACAGCAACUCUGGGGGACAGGCCUUGGAAAAACUGGAAGUUGUGUCAGACUCUGAAGAAGCCAGUGAAGUCCCAGAGUGGCUCAAAGAGGGAGAAUAUGUUACCAUUGGCACAAAUAAAAUGGGCAUCGUGAGAUAUAUUGGGCCAACUGACUUUCAGGAGGGGACAUGGAUUGGAGUAGAGCUAGAUUUACCUUCAGGUAAGAAUGACGGUUCUAUUGGAGGGAAGCAGUACUUCAAGUGCAACCCUGGCUACGGGCUCCUAGUGAAGCCCAGCCGCGUGCGGAAGGCCAUGGGCGCAGCCCGGAGGCGCAGCACGGGGCUCAGGCUGCAGGGCGCCGCGGCUUCUGAGGCCCGCAGGAGCGCCACCCUCUCUGGCUCCGCCACCAACCUGGCCUCCCUGACGGCGCUGGCCAAAGCUGAGGUUGGAGCAGCCCUGCGGGCGGAGAGGAACCAGAAGAGCACCGAGAACCGAAAGUCCUGGGCCAGCUAGGCCGCCGUAGGUGCCUCCUGGGGACACCGCCCUGGCAGAGUCGGGCACCGUUGCCUGCCUGGUUCUUUGCGAUCUUCCUCACAAACACUAACCAGAGGGGAAGGCGGUGCACCCUUAAGAGCCUUGCCAAUAAGUUCCCUGUAUGUGAAACAGACAAGUUCGUGGCUAUUUGUUCUGCUUGCUAAGAUCGGCCUUGCUGACCACGGUGCUGUGUGCGCCUGUGCCCCAGGCCCCUCCCAGUCAGCCAGUCCUGGGGACCUGACUGCUGCCUCUGAGGUGGGCAUGCCUUACCUGCCGGGGGCUUGGUGUACAGCCUUUUCACUCUGAAGACAUGGACUCACUUGUACCCACAAACAUCUUUCUCUCAGAAAAGUUCGUGGUGCCUUCCUGCUGGGCUGUUGACAUUGUGUGGGAGAGUCUUGUAACAUCUUUCUCUGUGUGUGGAUUUCUGUACAUAUGAUGGGUUCAUAUUAAGAAGUGAUUUGGAUUUGGGGAUUAUGUUGAUUUUGUACACGUUAAGUGGGAGUUAACAAAAUCCAAAGAUCAUGUAAUGCGUUGUAAAGAUGUUGAUUUGUAGUGUAUAACGAACUAAACUGCUGUAAUUUUGUACCAUAUAUGCCUUUCGUCAUAUGACCAAUAGCUAAAUAAAACCAGAUGAUUCCUUACCUGUGUCUGAGGUUAGUCUUGUUUCUUCUUUGCUCCUACCCUGGCCCAGGUGUUUUGGGGCUCAUUCUAGACCAUCCCACAGGUCAAGGCGUGUCAUUGUUCUGAAUGAUCAUGGUAGGGCUUUUCAAGAUUGUGACGAGAAGAAGGAAGUUCAUGGAGCAACAGCAGGUCUGAAGGUACACCCAACUACACAUAACACCUGCCUCUGGCCUGCUUCUGAUUUGGCCUGAAGAACCCAGGGAGGCCACAUUGCUUCCCUGGCCAGCCUCAUACCCCUUAGUUUUAGAUCUCAGUCCCUUAGAGAAGCAAAGAACCGAUGAUACUUUCUGGUGGCCUUAGCUCCUUAACUGGAGCUCUGCCCAGCCGGUAGAUGGCUGGAUGGGGAGGGACAGGCACUUCUCUGGGGAGGGGUCACCCCAGUGCUCAGGCCAGGGUCCCUACACUUGACACUACCAACUUGGGAGCAGAGGACUUUUCCUAUUGCUGCAGAGAUGGUUUGACCCUUGAAGGUAUUAUAAGGUGUGUAGGAAAGAGGCUGGCCAGAUCUGGGGGAUCCCUGUGGGCUAUGGAACCUCAUGUUAGCUUUGCUGGGCCCUGGAUGGUGGUGAGGCAGUGUCCUUGUGUUGCCCCACUUUGUGUGCUGUGCGCCCAGUAUGGGUUUGGAGCAGUGCCUCUGAGGAUGGCAGGUCUGGGGAGGAUAACAGGUUUCUUUUGACGUUGCCUGUAGGUCCCUCUCAUGGUCACAGGACCGUUUGUCGCAGCUGCCUGCUUUCCAUUGGGACCCUGGGCUGCACAGCACAGCGUUCCAGAGUGAUGUAGGCUCAUUCAUGGCACUGGGUAAAGUUUUGUUUUUUUUUCCCUGCACCAGUGAAUCACUCGACCAUUGUAUGAUACAAAAUAUAUUUGCAAAUGUAGGGCCGCAGCAACUGGGAGGUCUGAUUGGAGGUGGACAUCAGUUGAGCACAUCUUGUAGGACUUGUUUAUAUUCAUAAGUGCAUAAGAGUUGUUUACUGAGAUAAGCACUGUCAAAUGAUGACAGAAAUUUGGCAGCCAGAAGCUGCCCUGCUUUGAAAGAGGCAGGGAUCUGAAUGUAGAAUUGAUCUAGCUCCUAGGAUAAUAUUUUUCAGACUGCCACUCUUGCAACUAAAUGAGAUCUGUCUGCAUUAGGCUGUGAGGUUUUUACUGUUGCUCAAACCCAGAAAUGAGCUGUAGUGGAUGUGUCACAUUUAGUUCAUUCAUUACUCAUUUGUUCAUUGACUCAUUCCAUGAAUAUCUGAGUACCUGUUAUGUGCCUGGGUGGUACAAGUAGUUAAGAUGCUUGGCUACUAAUUGAAAGGUUGGAGGUUUCAGCCCAUCCAGAGGUGCCUGGAAGAAAGGCCUGGCAAUUUACUUAUGAAAAAUCAGCCAUUGAAAACCCUACGGAGCACAGUUCUACUCUGACACACAUGGGUUGCCACGAGUUGGAGUUGGCUCAAUGGUAACUGGAAUUAUGUAUCUGGCCUUGUGGACCAGAAGCCAAACCGUCCCACUCUUGUGUUUACAAUCCAGUGGAAACAAGCAGCUGUAAGUUCCACAGCAGGGCUCCCGUGGAGUGCUCUGGUGUACCAGGAGGGCCCUAGCCCAGCCUUCUGGAGGGGUAAGGAAGGUAUCCCUGAUUUUUUUUGCAUUUUAAGGACAUGGAGGAGUUGAUGCCAGGGGAGGAGGAUGGUGUUGCAAGGGGCAGUUGGGGAAGACUUCCAGGGCAAGUGAAGAACUGGAGGCCUUGCAGCCUAGAAGGUUCAGUGAAGGUUGUGCUUAGCAGGGGUAGAUUGGCAGGAUGAGGCUGGACAGGUAGGCAGGGCCCAAAGGGCAAAACUUGAAACAGCAAUUUUUGCCCAAAUAAUACAGGACUGAGACAGAGCCCCCACAGUGCUUUAUCCUUUACCUGGCUUCCUCCCGGACAGUGUUGUAUUGAAAAACUGUUUCCUUUGCUGAGCUCCCGCCCCCUCCCCCCACCACAGCUUAGCAUUGGAAUCCUGCUUUUGCUUGGAGGUUAUAUGUAAACCCCAUCGUGCCUGCAUACUUUUAUGAACUCCCUGCUUGUAAACCCCUUUAAAAGUAACUGGCUUGGCAGCAGCAGCUCCAACUGACUCCUUAUCCUUGUCCAGUCAAGUAAAGGUGCCUCUCUCCCACCUCGGUCUCCCAUUUAUUGGCCAAUACAAGUCAUGCCAAGCAAGAACCUGCGGUUUCCACCUGGUAACAAGAGCUCGUAUUACUCCCCACCACAUCUGCCUCCACCUGGCAGCUUAGACAGGGUUUGGGGGUGCCUUAUAAUUUUGCCAUCUUUUCUAAUUAUGUAUAAGGAGAGAAAAAGGCCAUUUACUUAUUAGGUUUUUGCUGAAAAGGGGAAACUAAAAUCCAUCUCAAGAGACCACUGAAGAAAGGGAAGCUUGGGUGCUUUGUCCUUCAGAACUGCUUAGGAAUUUCACCUCAGCCACUGGAAACCUUUAAAGCUACAGCUUUUUUGUUUUUUUACUGUUAAAGGUGAAGCCCCAGGAUAGAUGGCUCUUUAAAAGAAGGCUCAGGGUGUGGCCUGGAACAGGAAGGUCAAGAAGAAUGGACUUCAGCUACUCAGCAUAAUAAAGUAAAAGGAAUUUAUUCCACUAGGUACUGGGGCUUAGGUGGAGAAACUUAGGAUCCUAAAGGUUUGAGGAUGCAGCCAGAUCUUCAGGCUGUAGUAUCAAGGGAAGAUGGUGGACUAAGAAGAAAGCUAGGUGGGCUCAGACCCACUGUGAGGGAAGAUGGAACGUGGGGGCAGGGAAGCUACUACUGAAAAUCACAGCCUCUCCUCUGGAAAAGGAAAGAUAAUCGGGACAGAUGCAUUUAAGAGAGCACAUGUUUGAACAUCAGAAAAUGAGUGGAUUCAGGUGUUUCCCAGCAUUUCCUCUUAAGCAAGAAAAAACCACAUAGUGUUUAAUUGUCCACUUAACCAUUUUCAAAUGCCCGUGGGUUCCUAGACUCACCAGUCCUUAAAAGCACAAAGGGACUGAUGAUCAAAAGGAGACACUUUCAACCCUCUUGUCAGUUUCUUCUAAAUGACUGGUUUUAUCCAAAGAAAUUCCAGCCAGUCUUUGUUCAGUUAUACAUUUUAUUCUCUAAUAGGUACAAUACUAAAAUAAACACAAAUUAAAAAAAAGUUUUAUUAAAACAAAACUGUACAAAAAAGCAGUAUACUACAUUUUAAUUACAGAACAGUCUACUGUCCAAAAGGCACUAAUCCAGAAUAGGAGAUACAAUGAUACAGGACUCAUUUGAACUAUUUUAAUCAAUACAAUAGAGCACUUGUUUCUUUGACCAUUUACAUCUAGAAACAAGGGCUAUUUGCUACAAUCAUUACACAUUGUUACAAAUAUGAGUCCUACAGGUGAAGGUGCAGUAUCCCUCUCCCUAGAGAAGGUUAACAUCAAGAGGGACCAUUAGGGCGCUAAGAGGUGAACGGGCAGCAAUGGGAAGGGCCUGGGGCCCAGGGCAGCUGGGUGCCUUCCCCGGGCAAGGACCCAUUGCCACUGGGCACCCGGAGCUUGUCUUUCGGCCUGGCCUCUCGGUUGGUUCAUUUCUUGGCCACCAUCUUAUUACUGGCAGCCACAAUAACCUCCUCUUGUGUUUUAGCACCGGGAAAGUGGGUUCUAAGAUGCUCCAGGAACUGGGGCUAGAGGUCUGUGUGAUGAAGCAUCAGGAACUCAACAGAAGGGAGGCAUUUUGAUAACCUGAUCUGAGAAAAGGCAGCAACUACUCUGAAGAGGGAAGAGGAGUCCAUGGGCAGCCAAUGAGCUGGGCAUGACAGCCAGAGCAGAGCCACCUGCUGCUUUCUGGCCAAACUUCUGGCACGGAAAUAAAUAAGACGUCCUAUUUCUAAGUUGAGAGAGAUCCUAAAUGUCCCUUUUCUUGGGCUGGACGCAAUGGGGAGUACAUAUUAGAGAGAUGUGACAAUUGACUUUUGUUUCUUGGAAGUUGACUUCUAGAAGUGGGAUUUUUGCUUCCCAGAGGCAAGUCAAAAUGCAAUGGCCAGUCUGAUUGGGUGAGGCAUCUUCCCUCCUGCGCAUUACAGGAACCCAAGCUCGAGUAAAUGGGUCUGUUCAUUUAUCGAGUUUUGUGACCAAGACAACUCUCUAAGCCCCAGAUUUCAUUCUUUAAUGGACUCUGGGCCUGAGGAAGGGAGAUACUGCAGCUUUCAGAACAGUGUCAGACACACAGAAGACAAAGACAGGCAUCUGGAUGUUAACAAAGUAACAAAGAAAUAUGAUUAAACCAAAUCUCUUCUCACAGCAUCCUAUACUACAUCCUCCUUCUGCUUAGCAGAAAAUUGUACGUACACAAAAAUACAAAUACACAAUUUUGUAGAACAGUCUGAUUUUAAUAUAUUUAUAUAUAUUUAUAUUUAUACGAGUGGCAGGUUAGUUCAUCAUAUAGAGCUUUUUGCACUUUUGGCUCAUAUGCAACAAGGCUUAUAAAUUCAGCAUUAGCUUUCAUUCAGGUUUUAUAGCUUUUGAACAAUUGUUUUCACAUUUAAAGCAGCAUCCAAUUUGCACUAGGAGUUUGUGGUGAUUACAGGAAAGACAGGGUCAGGAGGUUAUUGAAGGAGAAGGGGAAGUAGGGACAGGGGAAGAUAUACAUUCCAGUGUGUGUGGCAAUGUAAAAAGGACUGUGAUGUGGACAAGAGUAUACCAUGGUGACCCUUGAGGUAGACUGAACACCUUACAGCAGACUCAGACACAGGUGUGACUCGCCCUCAGGGACACAUGGUGCACAAGAUGGGAGAACAGAGACCAGAGGAGACUCCAAAUGGAAACACAAAGACUUAAGACACACAAUGGCUGAGGCAGGAAGGGCGCACUGUCCUCCCAAACUUCUCCAGCAGAGAUCCUACACAGCCUGUCUAGGUAUGUGUUUGAUGGAUGCUAAACACUUUCAGGCAAUCCCGAGGCAUCUGGUCCAUGGUAUCUGAUCAAAUUGCUAGGGUUAAAUUUGUUUUCUGUUUUAUAACUUGCUAUGCCAGCUAGUUCCCACCCCUACAAUGAACAGUAAAACAGAAGCUGCACAUCAUUCCGAAAUGGAGAUAAUUCCCCAGCACUCUGCUCUGGCGGGAUGUUCAAGUCCAGUUAAGUGAAAAGAAGCUGGGUUUCUUUUCCUGCCUCUAAUUGCAUUUCAUUGCUACAUUCCCUAGCUUGCUGCACUCUCUUGCUUACAUUCAUCUCUUUUCAAUUACAGCCGGGUAAUUGAUAAGCACUUGGCAGAACCUGUAACACACAGCAUCUAGAGAACUGAGUGACAAUGUGCGGCCAAAGAGUCCAGCCGGGUUUACACGUUCGGGACAAGCUUUAUUUCAUUACUACCACAGCAAUAUUGCUCCCAUCUGAUCACUUUUCAUCAACAGCACCUUCCCUUCUCUAUCCAAGUCAAAGGGUUUCACUUGCAAAUUUGCCCAUAUGCGUUAAGUGAGAAUGCCCAGUGUUUGGGUUAUCCCAUUUUCUAAACAAAAAUGCUAGAUUAUUAAUGAAAAUAAAGUGCUUGGAUAUGGAUUGUUCCAUUUUGCAAAACCUUUUAAUAUAUCAAUAAAUCGUCUGAGUGCUGCUUAGUUAUGUGAUUUGAACAGAGUGCAGUCACAAAAUAAUCUGUCGUACCCCCACCAUGGAAUAAAGGCCCCAUACUUAGAUCAGACUUCAGUUACUUUAAAAAAGAGGCAAGUAAUCUCAUACUCACUUUCAAAGGUGCACUUUCGACCUUAACACCCUACCAACGACAGCCUUUCUGAGCCCUUGUGAACAGAUACCCUGAUCCCUCCAGUCUAGGAAGGGAGGAUGAGGACAGGCAGCCAGGGUUUGUGAAUGAGUCAUCACAUUUAUUAAUCAUGAUUAUUUGACUCUUUGCCCUCUUGGAUCAGGUGCAUUUUCCAGGUGCCGACAAAAACAGAGGCAGAAUUCUGCUCUGAGGCUGUUUUGCUUAUCUAUCUUCUUCGCUCAAUAACUAAGAUUUAGCUAAGCAACAGAAGACUCCUGAAAAAAUUCUCUAUAAGCCAAGACCAUGAGCACAUGAACAGAAACACCCCUAAAAAAGAAAAACAUGAAAACAGUGACAAAGCCAGCCUGACGUAGCGUGAAGCUCUCUCCUGUUCGCUCUUGCAGUUGUUCUGCCUGCAGAACGCCGGGGACACAGGAGAGGGCGCCACCCUAUGCCCACCCAUGAGGGAUAAGUGCAGGCUGGGAAGGAAGUGGGCAUAGAGCAUAGGCUGACUCUCUGGCAGGUUCCAGAGGCCUGUAACUUGCUUAGGCACUUAAAAAACAUAAAUAAAAAUUUAUCCUUGGAAGCUACUUGCAUACCCAACAUGGCUACAGCCAUGGGAUGGGGAGCCCGUGGGGAGGCAGAGAAGGCUGUGGGCUCUUCCAGGGGAGGCAACCAUGAUGUCCUUGGGAUCUUCUGACAUACACAGCUUCCCACCUUGCAGCCAGGGUUAAUCUGAAGAAAUCAAGUAAUAUGAGGGCUCAGACAUGGACAGCAGAGGCCUCUGUUUUUGUGUCCUGCUAACCACUGAAGAAGUGCAGUGGGGCAAAGAGCAAGUCUGCGAGUGUUCUGACACCUGCUCCAGACUCACUGUCACAGGAUGUGGGGAUUGAUGUGAGAGAAACUGCUAGGAAGAGAAGGGAUCCUUUAACUUUGGUUUUGGUUUAGUGCUGCCAUCCUCACAGAUGCAUGACUAAGGGGUUCACCAACGCUAAUAUAUUGAAAUGUGGUUUUCAAGGCAAAUGAUAACAAUAAUGCUUCUUGAAAGAAGCCCACAGCUGGGCGCUGUCACCUCCAUUCAAUCCACUCACUAAUGUAUGUACUUGGGUGCUCUCCCCCCCCGCCCCCGAAUCUGUAUAAAAACAAUGUAAUAUCACUAGAGUGGCUGCUGUUUACAUUAACAUAGCACUCGCGUCAUUUUGUUUUCCAGUUUAAGAGCUUCAAUGAAUGAUGAAAUGGAAAAAUGACCCUCACAAGUCUUUUGCUAGGCUCUUAGUUCCAGUAAAGCAAAAAAAAAAAAAAAAA